GAAGUCUCCCCCCUUAUUCUUGCCAGCAUCACACUGCUGUAAGAGUCGCCUGUCAUCUUAUUUUCCAGCUGUUUUGUGGAGGAUUUCUCAGAGAAACUUUGACUAGUAAUUGAUAACUCACUACAAAAUUGCCACGAACCCAGAGGUAUCAACAACAGUGUCCGGAGGAAAUUCAAGGGUCAAAGGCUGACGAUGCCAACUGUAACGACAGCAGACGAAUCACAUGCUGCCUUCAGGGUUCUGGAAGUUACCUGGUCCACAGCAUCAAGGAGCUGGAAGCUCUUAUGAUGAGCAACAGGUGGAAUGUUUAAACUUUGUAUCAGAAGAAGUAAGUUUCAAACCUCAGUGUGGGUUUUAAAUGCAUCAUUGCUUAAUACCAUUAUAAUGCUGACAGAUACAGGGUGAAUUGUACUUUAAGGUAAUAUCGUAGUGGUUUGUGACUGGAAUUGUCACACUUCGCCGGGAUCGCUGGGUGAGCGGGCGAUCGCUCCGGCAGGGCGAUCAGGAAAGGAGCAGGCAGACAGGCGGAGUAUGGGGUAAACGGGGAUUUAUUAAAUAAACAAGGACUAGGGAACAUCUGACAAAGACUAACGUCAAUGACGGACGAGGACCACAGGUAAGACUAGGACUUAAAACAGGACUAAUCAAAGUAAUCAGACACAGCAGGAGACGAUCAGGGAAGUACACGUGGGUAAGCCGGGGGCGUGGCACACACGAGGAGCGGACGAGCCGGGCAUGACAGGAAUGAAAUGAGAAGAUUUUUUUGUUUUAAUUGUAAAGCAACAUUUGAUGUUGCACAGAAAAGAAUAUCACAGUUUUUAGCUUAUCAGCUCUUGAUUUCACUUAACCUCAAUACUUCUUCUCUACUCCCACCAUUGUCACAUUUUUCUAGAACCUACUGUGCUGAAAUCACACACAAUGUACACUAUAUUUACAAAGGUAUUGGGACACCUACCUUUACAUACACAUGAACUUUAAUGACAUCCCAUCCUUAAUACAUAGGCUUAAAUAAUGGAGUUGGUCCACCCUUUGCAGCUAUAACAGCUUCAGCUCUUCAGGGAAGCCUGUCCACAAGGUUUAGGAGUGUGUUUAUGGGAAUUGUUGACCAUUCUUCCAGGAGAGCAUUUGUGAGGUCACAAAGUUGGGACCAUGAAAUUGUCCAAAAUGGCUUUGAAUGCUGCAGCAUUAAGAGUUCCUUUCAUUAGAACUAAGGGGCCAAGCCCAAUCCCUGAAAAACAACCGAACACCAUAAUCCCCCCUCCACCAAACUUCACACAUGACAAAAUGUAGGCAGGCAAGAACCUUUCACCUGGCAACCACCAAAGCCAAACUCGUCCAUCGGAUUGCCAGACAGAGAAGCAUGAUUUGUCACUCCAGGGAACACUUCUCCACUACUCUAGGGUUCAGUGGCAGUGUGCUUUCACCACUGCAUCUAACGCUUUGCAUUGCAGUUGGUGAUGUAAAGCUUGGAUGCAGCUGCUCGGCCAUGGAAACCCAUUCCAUGAAGUUCUCUACCAAUGUUCUUGAGCCAACAUGAGGACCACAUGAAGUUUGGAGCAUUGCAGUACUGGGAGGAUCAGUUCUAGCUGGUGUCCAUGGUCUCUGUGAUGCCAGAAGUCAAAUCAUCUUUCUGAAUGCUCUCAAAGAUGGAGGACAUCUCGGCGUUGGAGCGGAUUUGACUGGCGAAGUCUGCCAUGGCAGGGCUCUUCUCUAUGUCCCUGAUGGACAGGAGUGCUGCCACUGCUCGCAUCGCUGACCGUCGCAGCUCCUCCUGCUUCUCAAACUCCUGCUUCACCGAGCCAGCCUUCACCUGUGGUUAUGGAGCAUGUCGACAUUUUGAAACAAUACUGCCCUCUACUGGAAAUAAAGCACAAUGUCUUGCUUGAAAUCGCAUUAACAUUCAGCAGCUUCUAAUACAACCUUGAGUGUAGAACUGCUUUGAUCAUGCUGUGAUACGCAACCGUAUUUAUCCACAAACAUGGUUCAUAUAGUCCUAUAAGGACAUCCCCUGCACCGACGGCUGCAGGAGUAGUGCUAGGCAGUGUGUUACCUUGGUAGUGCAUGUGGCUCGAAGCGGCUCAACAAGUCGGUCAAGCCUUUGCAUGACAGCACUGGGACUCAGUGAGGAAAGUCUGGCCAGCAUGAUAAAGGUGAGCAUCUUAGAGAGAGAAGAGGUUUAGGUUAACAUGACUCAAUUUGAAGCACGCUUCCUGACUAGUACGAAAUUCUAGUCAUUUAGCUAUUUGAUACAUUUUAUUAUAACAACUUUAAGUUCAGAUUUAACUUGGGGAAUGUGUGAUAAUUUCCAGUCUGUAACAUUUGCAUGUAUCUUUCAUUUUACCCUGAUGUCAUAAUGAUCCUUUAGACCUUCCUCCACGUGAUUCAGGAACUCAAAGAUGUCCAGGCAAUCCAAGCAGCUAUCCAGCAAGGUAUACAUACACUCAAAUGCUGCCUUCCGGACAUCUAGUCCGUCGUCAACUGUGUGCUUGAAGGGGCCCAUCUCUACCUGCAUUAGAAGAUCCAUCAGCUAACAGGACGCCUGGCGCCACACCGGCCAGCUCGGUGAGAAGACUGAAACAGCCCUGCCUGGACUUGAUGCUCUUCUCCUUCAGCUGUCGGUGUAAAGCCUUCACGAUAGUGGGGACCUGCGAAACCAGAAACAACACUAAGAGAACAUUAUGGAUGUUUGACACUUCUGCCCUGGGGGGAAGCAAUAUUCAUGGGAAGGUACAGCAAUGUUUCCUGUCUACCUGUUUCUUUAGCAAGGUAAGUGCUGGGUCUUCCUUAUCUCCAGGCUGGGGAGGGACCUGCAGCGGUCGCGUCUGCCGGAGCAAGGAGAUGAAGGCCAGGAAGAUUUCGGUGCGGACGUUCUCCUCGCGCUCCUUGAAGCGGCCCACUAAGGCGGGGGCCACAGACCCAUACAGCUCCAACAACAGGUCUCUCCGUGUGCUGACCACAGCCUCCAAGCAUUUCACACUGGAACGCCGAACCUUCCAGCUCAUGUCGUCGUCGUCACUGUAUUCUUCAUCGGACCCUGAUGAAGCGACGGUUGGAUGGGCCAGGAAUCAGGUUGAGGGUAAAAAUAAGCAUUGCUGUCAUUAUUACUCAUGCAAAAUGGCAGACGAAUACAGACAUGAAACCACUAUCAACUCAUGUUUGCUCAACAACACUAUUUCAGAACAUGUGGAGGGUAAUAUGUGACACCUUGGUCGUCAUCUUCAAUGUCCAUGGACUCAUCUUCAUCUUCUUCAUCAGCAUCAUAGUUGUAGUUGGGGUCAUACAUAAUGUACUUCAAACAAAGUUUGAUGAUUGUGGAGAUAUGACAUGACAUUUCCUUGGGGCACCUUACAAGACAAUAAGAAUAACACAAAAAAGUGUUAUUGGUUAUGUAUCUAACAGAUAGUCAGGACACUGCUAUGCAUUGUCCGUGUUUGUCGCUGGAAUUAAAAAUCUUGUUCUGA